CAGCUCACCCCCUCCUGCUGGAGAAGAGGGAGCGAUCUCUUAGAGACCAUACUAGACUAUUCCUGGAAGUUGCUUAUUACGCCAACUACCCGGAGGACACACUCUGCACAUUCUACAAUAGCAGCCUUAACAACGAAUACAAAGCGCAGUCAU
ensembl:processed_transcript